UGAAUGUACUUAAUGCCAUUGAACUGUACAGCUUAAAAGGUUAAAGUGGUAAAUUUUAUGUUAUGUAUAUUUUUACCUCAAUUUUAUUCCAAAAGUAUAUCUGUGUUUAUGCCCUUCGUUACCCAGAGAGGCAUUUAGAGGCUGGUUCCCAGGACUCCCAGGGGCUGUGUUCACUGUUUGGCAAACCUUUCCCUAGAAUCCUCUUCGACCAGCAGCCCCUUGGAGGCCCCAACAAUAGCUGACCCCUUGCAUGGCCCUCAUCCUGACUCUUCAUCUUUCUAUGCAGCAUAGCAGUGGGACCCCAUUAAGGACACUUCCUUUAUCUAGCGUCUACUAUGUGGCCAAGAAAGAGCAACCCGGGAUGCAUGACUUUUCUUUGGUCAGAUAAAAAACUCCAGCCAAGAGUCUCUCAAGGCACCCCUUCCAGAUGCCCACAGCUGCCACUCCUGCUGAUCGAGUUAUGAGUGGGUGCAAGGGCAGGCAGAGGAAACUGCCUGCAAGUCGCCACCCUAGAGGGCCAGCCUUGUGGGCAUCCGGACACCGACCAGGCUGGUGCAUCCUGCCUGCUGUGACCUGCUCACGCCUGCUUAGCACAUCCCAUCUGCAGCCAAGCCUCCACCAUGUGGGCCUGCUGUACUGAAGCCCAGGGAAAGGCGAUGUCAAGCCAAACCUCUCUCUCUGCCCAGGCUGUAAUUUCCUGAUUAGACGCCGCAGUCACCACCCUUUCUGCACACACUGAUUUCUUCCUGCUGUCCUCCCAAUCUCCCGGCUCCCGGGGCUCCCAGGGCCAGCAGACUUCAGAGCCUGGACCAAGCAGUGAGAAGGUGCCAGUGAACUCACUGGCCAACCAAGACCCGUCUGUGCAACCACCGCCCCCUUCUCAGAGUUAGGCCCCUCUCAGAAGGGAAUCAUGGCUUGGUUCUUAAAGUUGAAAAAAUAGCUGCUUCAGUAAGAAAGAAUAAGGUUGCUAUGAGGCAGUAGAGCAGAGGGGCCUGUGUUCAAAUACUGACUCUGCCCUUUAAUGAUAACCUUGGCCCAGUGAGUCUGAGUGCUGGCUUGCCUGCCUAUAAAAGGGGACAACAAUUCCUUGGAAGAUUGUUGUGUGGCACCAUAGCAGUGGCUAAAGAGCCAGACACACUUGGUUGUGAAUCCUGGUUCUUCCCCCUUAGUUGUACAACCUUGGGUAGGUUACAUCACCUCUUUGAACCUUAGUUUUGCCACCUGUUUAAUGGGAAUAAGUGUUGUUAUGUGAUUGAAGUCAUACAUGUGAAAAAAUCUUAUAAACAGAAAUACUGGCAAAACAGAAGGCAGUAUUUCCACAGUCAGUAAGGAGAACAGGCUGUGCCGUUGAAGCUCUGGCCUGACCUCUGUUUGGAUCCCUCCUUCUCUGGGCCAGCAUCAAGUUUUUUUUCUUUUUCUUUUUUUUACAUUUUAGAGACGGGGUCUCACUAUGUUGCCCUGGCUGGUUUCAAACUCCUGGCCCCAAACUCCUCCCAGCUCAGCCUCCUGAGCAGCUGGGAUUACAGGUGUGAGCCACCAUGCCCAGCUCCAACGUCAAGUUUUGAAGAGUUCUUUUUAUCUCAGGCCCUGAUCCCAGGGAUCGAAGUAGCACUGGAGAGAGAAGAAGUCAGGGGCAGUGUUCCCCAAAUGCCAAGUUGGAGGGCAGCGAGGUUCCGCUGCUGCGAGAACACCACCAUGGUCCCAUCACCAGUUCACACAGGUCCCAGUCACUCUGUAGUUUCCCAAGAGUUUUGAAACAGGCUCUUCAUCACCUUCUGGUUUCUUCCACACUUCCCUUCUGAUACUUUAGUUUCAUCUUGCAAGAAGACAGUCAUACCUGGUGCCACCACCCUCUGGUAUGCUUCACCUGGAGGCCCCUGAUCCCAGCUAAGGGCUCAGUCCAUGGAAAGCCCUCUUAGCAUUUCCCACUGUUAACCCAGUAGGUCUCUAUUAUGCAGGGUGAUCUUUUAUAUAACCUGAAUAUAACCCAGACUCCACCUGGUCUAAUCUAUCCAUAGGGCUUCAUUUUUAAAAGGUAGAGCAACCAAAAAUAAUUUUUAGAUAAUUCCAAUCAUCAUUUGCCUCUCUCAAAGAACACCCAUAGGGAUCCCACUGUUAACCCACAAGGACACUUAACCUUAACCCCCUCCUUUAUCCUGUCUCCAGGACAUGCCCACCAGCUAUAUCAUAGCUGCUGUCCACAAUUCCCAGACUCUCAGCCCUCAGAUUUUGCUUCCUUCUUCCCUCCAUUUUCCCGGCUCCCUGUUGUGUUUUCAUCCAACCUCGCUGGUCUUUUAACUUUCCCUCUGUUUUGCCCAUUGACCAGCAUGGAGGAGAAUGCAGGAGCUGGCUGAGAAAGCAAAAAUACUCCCCUUUCCCUCUAGCUCUGCAGGCCUGGCUCUCCACCAUUCUCCUAAUGCCACAUCACACAAAGCCUACAAUAAAGUCAAACAUAGAACUUGGGGCAGGUGUAGCCUGUGGCCGACCAAGCACAGACAAAAUUCUUUGUAGCACAGUAUGGGGAAGAGUGGGGAUGCCCGUGUGUUGAUAGAUUUUUGCACCGUCACAUUUAUCUCCUUCCCCUCUUUCCAACCCCUGUGACUAUAAUCAGAACAACCUCCUCUCUUUUCUGAGUAGCCUAGUCAGGAAUUCAGAACCAUCGUCUCUCUUGAGGGCCUGUAGGACAACACAGCAGACCCAUCUGGGGCCAGGGACAAAGCCUGACACAGGCAGAGAUGCCCAGAGAGCCAGACCUGACCUGUUGAAGGCCAGUUUGCUCUAGGAGGUGUGCUAAAGCAUUUGAAGAAAGCCUCAAGGGGCACGGUCUCCAGAGUCCCAGUAUCAGAUUUCUAGGGGCUGUUGGAAUGGACAGGGGCAUUCACAUUCUCAAUCACUGCCUCGAUCUCCACAAUACAGGGCCUGCUUCCUGCUGGUGGAAUCAGAAAGCAGUUUUAAAAAAAGAAAAUCCAGCCACCUUCCAAACACCUCCAGCCUUGAAUUCCAGAUCCAUCCCACAAGAACUGGGGGAGGGCUUGGGCAUGACCAGGAGGAGACUCGGGCCCAAGUCCCCUGUAUCCCACUGUGGCCCCCAAACCAUCAGACUGGCAGGCUGGAGACGAAGGAGCCAUUUAGGGUCAACCCUACUAGAUCCCAGGGUCGGGGGAGGGUGAGGAGGGUCCUGCUUUCCACAGCCAGGCGUGGGUAAGCAGAGCCACUUCUGCCCCAAGCAAAUCAAUUAAAGGUCUUGGCCAAGCCUGUUUGAGUUGGUGAGAGCCCAAGUGGGAAUUCCAAUCUGCCGUGUUUGCUCUGCAGGCGAAUAGAGCCAAACAGAAAUGCUGCUUUGUGACUUUGUGCCAAAUAUCCAUCAGCUUGCUCUGCCAGCAGUGCUGGGCCGGCCCUGUAAACGUCACCUCUGCCCCCACCAGCUCUCUGCUCUCUGAAAGCCUUCUUCUUGUGCCCUUAAAGUCAGCUUGCCUUUUGAUACAAUUUGGAUGUGUGUCCCCUCCAAAUCUCAUGUUGAAAUGUGACUCCCAAUGUUGGAGGUGGAGACUAGUGGGAGGUGUUGGAUCAUGGGGGCGGCUCCCUUGUGAACGGCUUGGUGCCCCCACUUCGUGAUGAGUGAGAGCUCACUCUGUUAGUUCACUCGGGAGCUGGUUGUUUAAAAGAGUCUGGUAGCCCUCCUCCCCUCUCUCUUGCUCCUUCUCUCACCACAUGACACACACGGGCUCUGCUUUGCCUUCCACCAUGAGUAGGAGCUUCUUGAGGCCUCACCAGAAGCAGGUGCUGCCAUGCCUCCUGGACAGCCUGCAGAACCAUGAGCCAAAUAAACCUCUUUUCUUUUAAA
rnacentral:lncRNA from 1 species